rnacentral:snRNA from 1 species
UCAUUCUCUGAAAGCAUGGUGCU